CCUUUCACUAUUCUCUUUAAUUAUAUAACCCCAUACAACCAUCCUAAACCUUUUGACCAAUUGACAUUCUUCAUUCACUCUAACAUCAAGAAACCAAAAGGGAAAAAAAAAGGGUGAUGGCAGUGGUUGAGUUCUUUAUGUUGGGAUGCACAGGAAUUGUGAUGUUUUUUCAUGGGGCUAAUUACGUUUUCCAUGCUCUUCUUGCUCAUCAAAUCUCCAUUCGAUCUCUUAGUUUUUUGGGAUGUGUUUGGUGACAUACAAAUGAGCGGAUGAGUUAUCGGAUAUGAGGAUUUUUAUUUUAUUUUAUUUUAAUUGGAAUGUAAACUGUAAAUAUUUUUGUAUAAGUUGUAGACAAUAAAUGAUGGAGUUCGGUAUGAGUAUGAUUGAUGGUUGUUAGUAUGUUACAAAAGGACGAAAGUCUUGCUCCUAAUUAUCAUGGCAAUGACAAUGAUUGAGUAGGCAGAUGAUCAAAUAGCGAUUUCUGUUUAUUGACUUAUUUUCAUUUCAUGUAUUGUCGCAUUGGAAGAAUUUUUGUGACAAAAAGUUUAAUCUCUACUCCUUAAUAAAGCAAA